rnacentral:tRNA from 1 species
AUGGUAGCAUGACGGUCUCCAAAACCGUUCGUCAAGGUUCGAGUCCUUGAUCCUCUGCCA